AUUGAACGCUGGCGGCAUGCUUUACACAUGCAAGUCGAACGGGCUUGGGGGCUUGCUCCCAAGUUAGUGGCGAACGGGUGAGUAAUACAUCGGAACGUACCGUGUAGUGGGGGGUAACGUAGCGAAAGUUACGCUAAUACCGCAUACAAUCUACGGAUGAAAGCAGGGGACCUUCGGGCCUUGUGCUAUACGAGCGGCCGAUGUCUGAUUAGCUAGUUGGUGAGGUAAAGGCUCACCAAGGCGACGAUCAGUAGCGGGUCUGAGAGGAUGAUCCGCCACACUGGGACUGAGACACGGCCCAGACUCCUACGGGAGGCAGCAGUGGGGAAUUUUGGACAAUGGGCGAAAGCCUGAUCCAGCCAUGCCGCGUGUCUGAAGAAGGCCU
rnacentral:rRNA from 1 species